rnacentral:rRNA from 1 species
UAAGUGGGAAACGAUGUGGGAAGGCCCAGACAGCCAGGAUGUUGGCUUAGAAGCAGCCAUCAUUUAAAGAAAGCGUAAUAGCUCACUGGUCGAGUCGGCCUGCGCGGAAGAUGUAACGGGGCUAAACCAUGCACCGAAGCUGCGGCAGCGACACUAUGUGUUGUUGGGUAGGGGAGCGUUCUGUAAGCCUGUGAAGGUGGCCUGUGAGGGUUGCUGGAGGUAUCAGAAGUGCGAAUGCUGACAUAAGUAACGAUAAAGCGGGUGAAAAGCCCGCUCGCCGGAAGACCAAGGGUUCCUGUCCAACGUUAAUCGGGGCAGGGUGAGUCGACCCCUAAGGCGAGGCCGAAAGGCGUAGUCGAUGGGAAACAGGUUAAUAUUCCUGUACUUGGUGUUACUGCGAAGGGGGGACGGAGAAGGCUAUGUUGGCCGGGCGACGGUUGUCCCGGUUUAAGCGUGUAGGCUGGUUUUCCAGGCAAAUCCGGAAAAUCAAGGCUGAGGCGUGAUGACGAGGCACUACGGUGCUGAAGCGACAAAUGCCCUGCUUCCAGGAAAAGCCUCUAAGCAUCAGGUAACAUCAAAUCGUACCCCAAACCGACACAGGUGGUCAGGUAGAGAAUACCAAGGCGCUUGAGAGAACUCGGGUGAAGGAACUAGGCAAAAUGGUGCCGUAACUUCGGGAGAAGGCACGCUGAUAUGUAGGUGAAGCGACUUGCUCGUGGAGCUGAAAUCAGUCGAAGAUACCAGCUGGCUGCAACUGUUUAUUAAAAACACAGCACUGUGCAAACACGAAAGUGGACGUAUACGGUGUGACGCCUGCCCGGUGCCGGAAGGUUAAUUGAUGGGGUUAGCGGUAACGCGAAGCUCUUGAUCGAAGCCCCGGUAAACGGCGGCCGUAACUAUAACGGUCCUAAGGUAGCGAAAUUCCUUGUCGGGUAAGUUCCGACCUGCACGAAUGGCGUAAUGAUGGCCAGGCUGUCUCCACCCGAGACUCAGUGAAAUUGAACUCGCUGUGAAGAUGCAGUGUACCCGCGGCAAGACGGAAAGACCCCGUGAACCUUUACUAUAGCUUGACACUGAACAUUGAGCCUUGAUGUGUAGGAUAGGUGGGAGGCUUUGAAGUGUGGACGCCAGUCUGCAUGGAGCCGACCUUGAAAUACCACCCUUUAAUGUUUGAUGUUCUAACGUGGGCCCCUUACCGGGGUUGCGGACAGUGUCUGGUGGGUAGUUUGACUGGGGCGGUCUCCUCCUAAAGAGUAACGGAGGAGCACGAAGGUUGGCUAAUCCUGGUCGGACAUCAGGAGGUUAGUGCAAUGGCAUAAGCCAGCUUGACUGCGAGCGUGACGGCGCGAGCAGGUGCGAAAGCAGGUCAUAGUGAUCCGGUGGUUCUGAAUGGAAGGGCCAUCGCUCAACGGAUAAAAGGUACUCCGGGGAUAACAGGCUGAUACCGCCCAAGAGUUCAUAUCGACGGCGGUGUUUGGCACCUCGAUGUCGGCUCAUCACAUCCUGGGGCUGAAGUAGGUCCCAAGGGUAUGGCUGUUCGCCAUUUAAAGUGGUACGCGAGCUGGGUUUAGAACGUCGUGAGACAGUUCGGUCCCUAUCUGCCGUGGGCGCUGGAGAACUGAGGGGGGCUGCUCCUAGUACGAGAGGACCGGAGUGGACGCAUCACUGGUGUUCGGGUUGUCAUGCCAAUGGCACUGCCCGGUAGCUAAAUGCGGAAGAGAUAAGUGCUGAAAGCAUCUAAGCACGAAACUUGCCCCGAGAUGAGUUCUCCCUGACUCCUUGAGAGUCCUGAAGGAACGUUGAAGACGACGACGUUGAUAGGCCGGGUGUGUAAGCGCAGCGAUGCGUUGAGCUAACCGGUACUAAUGAACCGUGAGGCUUAACCUU